AUUGCGUUAGGGAUAGUAGUGAAAAUCCUUUUUAUGUCAGUUCGAGUGAAUUUGCCUAAGCAAAUUUGUAUCGAGAACUGCGUAAAAAGAUUGAAACGGAUAGCCUGUUAAAAC
rnacentral:sRNA from 1 species